rnacentral:lncRNA from 1 species
AAGCCUAUAGUUAGUUCUCUCCUCACUAACGGAAGUAUCUUAGUUAGUAGCAUCAGCUCUUCCGAGUCCGAGUCCGAGUCCGAGUCCGAGUCCGAGUCCGAAUGAGAGUACUCUAUUUCCAUUAGGAGCUUCCCCCAGCUGAGCUAGGCAACUUCCCUAAUGAAAGGAAUAUAGCAUAAAUUAAAUUAGGGAGGCCGUAGAUGAAAGCCUCUUCAGUAAACUCUGUCCGCUUCCGCUUCUGAAUCUGGAUGGCGGCUUUGGUUGGAGAAGAGAGUCUUUCAGUUACGGUUUAGGGCUAGUGAGUUACUAGACGUUCGUGAAGGCAGCCUACCAAUAAUAGAUAUCGCUCGUAGACAUAAAACCGUUUUCCUCUUUUAUAGGCGAC